GUCACUCCCAAGCCUGGAAGAGAAUGAGAAGGAGGCAGUAGAAUAUCAUUAUAAUCAUACUACUUGUCCCAGGGGAUCCAUGUAUUCUACUGAAGAGUGGGAGUAGUUCAAAAUGGAGAAAUGAGGAAACCAUGACAAAGAGUCUGGAUAAUCAUUAGAACUGAUUAAAGUCAGGCUGCCCUAGAUUGAAAAGUGUGUGCCUCUGCUCACAGUGGAUCUGAAGUGGAUAUUGGAAGUACAUGCCCUCCUUGGAUGCUGAAUAGCUUUCUCAGGCCAUUCACAUGAAAACAGCUUGGAGAUGAAGAAAUAAGAAUGGAAGCAUAAUCAUUUGUCCGAGGUCACAGAGGGAGAUGAUUACACAGCUGGAAUGUAAGCCUCAGUACUUUACUGAAUCCUUGGCUUUGUCCAUGGGCCCAGCUACAGGCAUAAAGCUUUUCUCUUCCCCAGCAGUGACUUCGAGUACCAGCUUUCAAAUUUAUUUGACAUUGAAUCUAAGCUUUGUGACCAGUAUGUAGAAGGAGAAGAAGGGGAGGAAUUACUUAUCCUUUGGCAUACAUUAGCAUGCAAAUAAAUCCUUUCUCUGCAUUGUGGAAGGGUCUGAAAUUAUCACAUAUACAAUGUAUCUUUUAUCAAUGGCCUUGCAUACAAAUUUUACUUUGAAGAAUCCAGAUUUAGAGGUCUUCUCCAAACAUUUGCAUUGUUUCUUUUUCUUAGGAUCAGAACUUCUACCUAUUGUCAUUUUAAGAAAAAAGAUCAUGAAUUAAUUAAUUUAUUCAUUAUUUACACCCUUAUAUUCUUUCCCAAAUGUUUUAAUGUGGCUUACAUUGUAUACAUGUACACAAUAAAUAUUUAUAUUUAAAUAAGUUAUAAUCACAGAAUGAGAAUAUUAUUACAACCACUCAUACUCAUUCAAAUAGCUUGAUUAUAUCAUUGAGCUUUUCUUUUAGUUCUGGGUUUUUUGCUGCCUAGUUUAAAUCAGAAUGGCAUCUGAUUUAAUUAAUGGAAACUGAGUUUAUUUGAUUGAUGGAAACAAGAUGAUUUCAAGUGUGAUGCACUUUUUCUGUACUAACGUUUGAGAUACAUUUAUUACAACUGGCCACUUCAUAAUGGGCCAUAAGCAUUGUUUAAAGACAAUGGCUACUAUUGUUUGAAAGCUAAGGAAAGAUCCAAUGCUACCAGAUGUAUAUUGGCUGAGAAAUGAUCAGCUGAAACUACAGGCUGAAAUGCUGUAUAAGGUAGGCAAUAAAAUUAGAGAAUGUUUGCCGAACCCACUAAGCAGCAAAGAGGACCCAGCUUAGAAGUAAUGUAAAUUUUAAAGCUCUUUACCAGUGGCAAGCUAAUUUGAAAUAUUAGAAGUUAUUAUUUGUUUUAUGUUUCUCUCUCUAGCAGUAUAGUUUUUAACCGGCUUGUAAGAGCUCUUUUGUUAGUAAUGAUAUCAACCCUUCUUCUCUAAAUUAGUUGUUUGCUUAUUUACAAUUUCUGAAUUUUUCUCAAACAUGACAAUGAUUCUGAUGCAGUGGUUCUCAAUCAGGGGUAGUUUUGUACUCCAAGGGACAUUUUGGCAAUGUCUGGAGACAUUUUUGGUUGUCAGAACUAAGAGGACUGUGCUCUGGGCAUUUAGUGGUUAGAGGACAAGAGUGCUGCUAAACAUCCUAUAACGGACAGGGUGUCACCCACAACAAAGAAGUAUCCAACUCCAAAUGUCAAUAAUGCUGCAGCCGAAAAACCCUGGUCUAAGGAAUCAUCAUCCUGGUGUAUUUUUUUUUUCCAGUAGUUCGGAAGAAUGUGAAGAAUUCUCCCAGAAUUUUUCAAGAUAUUCCAAGUACCUAUUUAUUUUAUAAUCCUUGAAGACUUACUAAGUACCCAUAAACUGGUUGAGGAAAGCCAGUUUCAAAAUAAAUAUGAAAUCAUAUUUAUUUUUCUCUGAUUAAUCAAGGUCAUCAUGUUUUUAGAUGCCCUGCAAAGAAAACUGGUCAAAAUGUAAGACUGGCCCUCACAUUAAAUCAUCCAAACUAGUAACACUCCUCUAAAGGACUUCCCUCUUGGAACAUUCUUGACUUUCACAUAAUCAGUAGGCAACCUCCUUAGUCAAGGAGUCCUCUCUAACUGGCAAACCUAUCAUUUGGAAGAAUGAUCUUUUCUUCCUCCUUGCUGACUUUAGUUUCAGACAGCUAAUUACAAGUCCUUGUUCCUCCGUGACCUAGACCUGUGACUUAAGGCAAAUUACAAUACCUUUUUUUCAUGCCUAAUUUUAUUUAAAGAUUUGAAAACUGUAUUGCAAUAUAACUGAAAUAAACUAAAUUGCACAAAGUA
rnacentral:lncRNA from 1 species